GAGCCUAUUUCGCAAAAAAAUCCCCUUCAGUUACAGCUCCAAAUUCUCUGAUUUGCUCUCUGUUUUUUGGAUUUCAGGUUGGGGUGCUACUAGGGCUCUUCGACCUCGGCUCCAGGACAAGUCACCGGCCGCGUGGCUACAAAGGAGCGGCUCCAGCUUUGACUACAGGAAGUUUGGAUCUAGUGGCUAAUUGCGACAGAUGUGCAGAGCUUGGCGUACACGAUGAUGUUGAAAGUUCCAGUCCGGCUUUGCUUACAUAACACCAGAUAGCAGUCUGCCUGGAUUCCAAAUA